rnacentral:tRNA from 1 species
GGGCCCAUAGCUCAGCCUGGCUAGAGCACACGGCUCUUAACCGUGGGGUCGGGAGUUCAAAUCUCUCUGGGCUCA